GGGGCAUUAGCGCAGCUGGGAGCGCAUCACACUGGCAGUGUGGGGGUCAGGGGUUCGAAUCCCCUAUGCUCCA
rfam:Ruminococcus sp. CAG:330, WGS project CBIH01000000 data, contig: 27